CUACGGGAUGCUCCAGUAGGGAAUCUUAGACAAUGGGGGAAACCCUGAUCUAGCCAUGCCGCGUGAGUGAUGAAGGCCUUAGGGUUGUAAAGCUCUUUCGCUGGGGAAGAUAAUGACGGUACCCAGUAAAGAAACCCCGGCUAACUCCGUGCCAGCAGCCGCGGUAAUACGGAGGGGGUUAGCGUUGUUCGGAAUUACUGGGCGUAAAGCGCGCGUAGGCGGGGUAUUAAGUCAGGGGUGAAAUCCCGGGGCUCAACCCCGGAACUGCCUUUGAUACUGGUAGUCUUGAGUUCGAGAGAGGUGAGUGGAAUUCCGAGUGUAGAGGUGAAAUUCGUAGAUAUUCGGAGGAACAUCAGUGGCGAAGGCGACUCACUGGCUCGAUACUGACGCUGAGGUGCGAAAGUGUGGGGAGCAAACAGGAUUAGAUACCCUUGUAGUC
rnacentral:rRNA from 1 species